GACGAACGCUGGCGGCGUGCUUAACACAUGCAAGUCGAACGCUGAAGCUCAGCUUGCUGGGUGGAUGAGUGGCGAACGGGUGAGUAACACGUGAGUAACCUGCCCUCUUCUUUGGGAUAACGCCCGGAAACGGGUGCUAAUACUGGAUAUUCACUGAUUCUCGCAUGGGGGUUGGUGGAAAGGUUUUUUCUGGUGGGGGAUGGGCUCGCGGCCUAUCAGCUUGUUGGUGGGGUGAUGGCCUACCAAGGCUUUGACGGGUAGCCGGCCUGAGAGGGUGACCGGUCACGUUGGGACUGAGAUACGGCCCAGACUCCUACGGGAGGCAGCAGUGGGGAAUAUUGCACAAUGGGCGAAAGCCUGAUGCAGAGACGCCGCGUGAGGGAUGGAGGCCUUCGGGUUGUAAACCUCUUUCGCUCAUGGUCAAGCCGCAGCUUUGGGUUGUGGUGAGGGUAGUGGGUAAAGAAGCGCCGGCUAACUACGUG
rnacentral:rRNA from 1 species